GGCCCGAUAGCUCAGCAGGUAGAGCAAAGGACUGAAAAUCCUUGUGUCCCCAGUUCGACCCUGGGUUGGGCCACCA
rnacentral:tRNA from 1 species